GACGUAGGGUGCAAGCGUUGUCCGGAAUUAUUGGGCGUAAAGAGCUUGUAGGCGGUUUGUCGCGUCUGCUGUGAAAUUUCGGGGCUCAACCCCGAACUUGCAGUGGGUACGGGCAGGCUAGAGUGUGGUAGGGGAGACUGGAAUUCCUGGUGUAGCGGUGAAAUGCGCAGAUAUCAGGAGGAACACCGAUGGCGAAGGCAGGUCUCUGGGCCACUACUGACGCUGAGAAGCGAAAGCAUGGGGAGCGAACAGG
rnacentral:rRNA from 1 species